rnacentral:misc_RNA from 1 species
CAGCGUUCCGUCGCGGCGCGCCGGGCCCACCGCCCGUGUGCGUGCGCGCGAAACCCCACCCUUGACUACCUGACCUUCUGUUGCUUUGGCGCGCCCGCCGCAAGGCCGCCGGGGGCUCCGGCCCCGGGCCCGCGCGCGCCGGAGAUGACACUGAACUCCUUUGUGAAUUUGGCCGUCUGAGUAUGAUCUUGAAUCAUCA